rnacentral:lncRNA from 1 species
AGCAGUUUCGUCAAUCAUCGUCGUUCGGGGUCGGGCAGUUGAGACCCGACCCAUACCUUCCGGUCAGGAUUUUUCGCUAUCGGGAUCGACACAAGCUGCUCGGCCGGCGAACCCCGUUCUUCCUUCUCCCGUUGGUCCAGUUUGUCGAUCGUCAGGGAGCCCCUCAACUCGUCGCUUUGAGCGGAGAUCUGGAAGCAUCGGCGAGCGAGCUGUUGGUCUCCGCGCAUCUCCCCGACCCCGUUCCUGGUCGGGAACCGAACGAGGAGAUGGUAGGUCGAGACAAUCACCUUGAGGGCGUUUAGUCCGGGUCGUCCAAGUAUGGCGUUGUAGGCCGAAGGCACUUGGACGACCGCAAAAGUUAAGGGGACCGUGCUUUGUCGUGGUUCGGUGCCGGCCGUCACAAGCAGGGUAAUUUCUCCUUCCGUCG